UGGGGAAUUUUGGACAAUGGGCGCAAGCCUGAUCCAGCAAUGCCGCGUGCAGGAUGGAGGCCUUCGGGUUGUAAACUGCUUUUGUACGGAACGAAAAGCCUCUCUCUAAUACAGGGGGGUGGUGACGGUACCGUAAGAAUAAGCACCGGCUAACUACGUGCCAGCAGCCGCGGUAAUACGUAGGGUGCAAGCGUUAAUCGGAAUUACUGGGCGUAAAGCGUGCGCAGGCGGUUUUGUAAGACAGUGGUGAAAUCCCCGGGCUCAACCUGGGAACUGCCAUUGUGACUGCAAGGCUGGAGUGCGGCAGAGGGGGGAUGGAAUUCCGCGUGUAGCAGUGAAAUGCGUAGAUAUGCGGAGGAACACCGAUGGCGAAGGCAAUCCCCUGGGCCUGCACUGACGCUCAUGCACGAAAGCGUGGGGAGCAAACAGGAUUAGAUACCCUGGUAGUCCACGCCCUAAAACGAUGUCAACUGGUUGUUGGGGAUUUAUUUCUUCAGUAACGAAGCUAACGCGUGAAGUUGACCGCCUGGGGGA
rnacentral:rRNA from 1 species